rnacentral:rRNA from 1 species
AUGAUUGGUAUUCAAUUUGCUGCUUACGUUAGUGUUGCUACUGUUAUCCAUGCCCUCAUGCUUGCGUAUCUGUUUAUUAUUUUGUUCACUAUUCUUUUCCUAGUUGUUCUUUGUUGGAAGAUAUUGCUUUCAUUGACAGCCAUGAUAAUGAUAAUUUCCUCUCUUCUACAGGAGCUCUGGUUUGAAGAUGUUCCUGGGUGUUUACUUCAUAGAUGUUCCUGGGUGUUCCUGGGUGUUUGUUUACUUCAUAGAUGUUCCUGGAUGUUCCUGGCUGUUUGCACUUCUUGGGUGGGUGUUUGCGCUUCCUGA